AUUGAACGCUGGCGGCAUGCCUUACACAUGCAAGUCGAACGGCAGCACGGACUUCGGUCUGGUGGCGAGUGGCGAACGGGUGAGUAAUGUAUCGGAACGUCCCAUUGAGUGGGGGAUAACGUAGCGAAAGUUACGCUAAUACCGCAUAUUCUCUCCGGAGGAACGCAGGGGACCGCAAGGCCUUGCGCUCUUUGAGCGGCCGAUAGCCGAUUAGCUAGUUGGUGGGGUAAAAGCUCACCAAGGCGACGAUCUGUAGCGGGUCUGAGAGGAUGAUCCGCCACACUGGAACUGAGACACGGUCCAGGCUCCUACGGGAGGCAGCAGUGGGGAAUUUUGGACAAUGGGGGCAACCCUGAUCCAGCCAUGCCGCGUGAGUGAGGAAGGCCUUCGGGUUGUAAAGCUCUUUCGGCCGGGAAAAAAUCGCAUGGAUUAAUACUCUGUGUGGAUGAUGGUACCGGAAUAAGAAGCACCGGCUAACUACGUGCCAGCAGCCGCAGUAA
rnacentral:rRNA from 1 species